rnacentral:misc_RNA from 1 species
GAUGAAGAACGUAGCGAAAUGCGAUAAGUAGUGUGAAUUGCAGAAUUCGGUGAAUCAUCGAAUCUUUGAACGCACAUUGCGCCCCUUGGUAUUCCAUGGGGCAUGCCUGUUCGAGCGUCAUUUGUACCUUCAAGCUCUGCUUGGUGUUGGGUGUUUGUCCUUGCUCUAGUGGCGGGACUCGCCUUAAAGUAAUUGGCAGCCAGUGUUUUGGUUUUGAAGCGCAGCACAAGUCGCGAUUCAAGUCUAUACGCUAGUUUCCACAAGUCUUUUAUCACUUUUGACCUCGGAUCAGGUAGGGAUACCCGCUGAACUUAAGCAUAUCAAUAAGCGGAGGA